rnacentral:rRNA from 1 species
UACGUAGGGGGCGAGCGUUGUCCGAAGUUACUGGGCGUAAAGAGCGCGUAGGCUGGUCUUUAAGUGAGUGGUGAAAGGUUCGGGCUCAACCCGGACACUGCCUUUCAUACUGGGGACCUUGAGUGUGGGAGAGGCGAGUGGAAUGGUCGGUGUAGCGGUGAAAUGCGUAGAUAUCGAUCGGAACACCCAUGGCGAAGGCAGCUCGCUGGCCUAACACUGACGCUGAGGCGCGAAAGCGUGGGGAG